rnacentral:lncRNA from 1 species
CCAAUUGAGAACAUGAAAAAUACACAAUGACUUGGCUGAAAAACUGCUGAUGGUGGGUGUCUCAAGGUCUAAUUUUGUUGUGUCAGGACUACGAUUUCGACAGAAUUCAAUAUCCUUUGGACUCACUUGCCCUUGAUGAGCAUAAACUGAAAGACCAGUCUGCAAGUGCAAAAGGUUUAAAAUAAGACUUCUGAAUAGAAAGGAAACCCAAGUAUGUUGAAAUGUAUAACAAAAUACUCAAUUUACAAGUACAUAAAUGUACACUUCGUCAAUAUAAAGUGACAAAUCAAACCUGUGUUGUAUUAUUAAUACCAAUUAUGUUUGGAUCUUGACAUCCAAUCCAUGUGAAAAUGGAACAUUCUGCAUACACAAUAAUCAACAAAGGUGUAUAUGGGUUCCUUACUC